UUCUUCUCUACUUCUGUGUUCUGCCACGAGGUGGAACCUGCAGCCCAGUCAGGUUGCACAGGCAGUCCAGCUCCCCAGGAUGAAGGUUUGCUGCGUCUCCCAGCACAGUCUCAGCCUCAGGAGCAGGGAGGAGACGCCAGGAGGCCGGCCAUUACACCAGGAAGGCUGGACAGGACUGCGGGAGGUCAUCAACCCAGCAGCACCCCAGUCCUGCUGGGGGUCAAAAAUGUCCUUCCUAUCUACUAUUCCCAUCUUCUAUUCCUUGACCUCAGUGGGAAAGGUCAUGAGGUCAAGGAAAGGUGUCAAGGAGGACUGAUAGGACUUAGGAAAAGCCGACAGCUGCUCAGAGAAUCUGACUCCACUUUCACUAAACUACGUCGUCAUGUCACAGAGGAUGUUGUUGAUGCGUCUGUCGUGGUGAAACUACACGUUUCAGAAGAUGAACUACAAAAACCUCAGCGGCUCCAUCAGCAUGUUUUAGUGUUUUACCACCAUGUGACGUCAUAUGUAACAGUAACUGACAUCUGGGUCAUAUUCAUACUCUUCUUCUUCUACUUCGGAUUGAAUUGUUUACGUUCGUGCAUACAGUUUAUGCGCGUCAUGUUAAAUAUCGCCGCCACAAUGAAUUGUGGGGCGUCUAUAUCUCUUCACUCUCACAAACGAAGCUCCAGUGUACCCUAUGCUAAAGGAGAUAGGAAAGGAAGCAUUGAAUCUCCUUUCCUAAACACUACAAGAGCGAGCGAACACCAGAAUUGGCAGGUUGGCCGUUGGCGCCUCGCCCUCACACUGAGAGCAUGUGACAGGCGUGAAAGAGUCUGGAGUCGCUGUGGUGAUAGUCAUGCUGCCUGUAGCAUCAUCCAGCAUGAGCGGUCUGGUGGUGGGCUAGUGGUGCUGGAGCUGGACUACCUGUGCCUUGUGGUUGUCCUGCUGUUGCUGUCAUUAACACCACAGCAGGUGGAAUUGAUUCACAAUCACUUCCUGGUCAGUUCCAUAUCCCAGAAGUAUAUUUGA
rnacentral:lncRNA from 1 species